rnacentral:rRNA from 1 species
GUAGGGAAUAUUGGGCAAUGGAUGCAAGUCUGACCCAGCCAUGCCGCGUGGAGGAAGAAGGUCCUCUGGAUUGUAAACUCCUUUUUUGGGGGAAGAAUAGUUCUCUUGCGAGGGAAUGUGACGGUACCCUAAGAAUAAGCCACGGCUAACUACGUGCCAGCAGCCGCGGUAAUACGUAGGUGGCAAGCGUUGUCCGGAUUUAUUGGGUUUAAAGGGUGCGUAGGUGGUUUGAUAAGUCAGUGGUGAAAGCUGGUUGCUCAACAAUCAAGUUGCCAUUGAUACUGUCGGACUUGAGAGAAGUGGAGGUUCAUGGAAUGGAUGGUGUAGCGGUGAAAUGCAUAGAUAUCAUCCAGAACGUCGAUUGCGAAGGCAGUGGGCUGUACUUUAUCUGACACUGAGGCACGAAAGUGUGGGGAUCAAACAGGAUUAGAUACCCGAGUAGUCC